AUUCAUCUGAUGAGUCCCAAAUACGACGAAACGCGCAUCCUGGAU
rnacentral:hammerhead_ribozyme from 1 species